AGGUGAUUAGCUCAAUCGGGAGAGCGCCUCUUUUACAAGGAGGAGGGAGACGGUUCAAUUCCGUCAUCACCUA
rnacentral:tRNA from 1 species